rnacentral:rRNA from 1 species
CAGCCGCGCGGUAAUACGUAGGGUGCAAGCGUUAAUCGGAAUUACUGGGCGUAAAGCGUGCGCAGGCGGUUCGGAAAGAAAGAUGUGAAAUCCCAGAGCUUAACUUUGGAACUGCAUUUUUAACUACCGGGCUAGAGUGUGUCAGAGGGAGGUGGAAUUCCGCGUGUAGCAGUGAAAUGCGUAGAUAUGCGGAGGAACACCGAUGGCGAAGGCAGCCUCCUGGGAUAACACUGACGCUCAUGCACGAAAGCGUGGGGAGCAAACAGGAUUACAUACCCUGGUAGUCCACGCCCUAAACGAUGUCAACUAGCUGUUGGGGCCUUCGGGCCUUGGUAGCGCAGCUAACGCGUGAAGUUGCCCGCCUGGGGAGUACGGUCGCAAGAUUAAAACUUAAAGGAAUUGGCGGG